rnacentral:tRNA from 1 species
ACCUGGCUGGCUCAGUUGGAAGAGUAUGUGACUCUUUAUCUUUGAGUUGUGGGUUCAAGCCUCACGUUGGGUA